AAUAAGCUUAGCGCCCCCUCGCGGCCCAAGUGCGCAUAUGCAUUUAACGUUGUUGUGCUGCAAUCUCUACAGGGGCGAUGAAAAAAUCUUUGGCGAAUGUUGUGGCAUCUGGCGCUGACACGACCAACUCUCUCUGUCUGUCCCCAACAGUUUAUUUAUUUCGCAAGAAUUCCGUGGAGGAAACAUUUUUUUCCAUGUUUGAAGUCUUGCUUGGUGAUGGAAUGAGUCAUUUUCUGAAGCAAUGAGAUGGAAGGAACCUUCAUAGCAUCCAACAAACAAGGAUUUCUAUGAGGCAUUGUGUUUUCCACAUUGCAGACCUCUGUAUCACCAACUUAAAUGAGCCUCCACCUGUCCACCAUGAUCUCCCCCAAACUUAAUCCACACCUCUUCUUCAGGAAUUGCCCCAUCGUGAGUUGUGAGAAAUCCAUUCCUGUGGAAAGAUGAUGGAACAUGAACAUAUGGUCUGUGACUCUGCUAUGGACCUAGUGAAUCACUGUUGACUGUCCAUAGUUCAAGUGAGGAUUGGCAAACCUGGUCAUUUCUUGAUUACCUACAGAAUGCAAUUGCAACAUAUGCAAAAUCUUAUGCAGGAAUGGGGCUAUAGCAGUGAUGGGACACUACAUUUGACUGUGAAGAUCAGACGAUGCAAUUCCCGUUGGUCAGCCCCCCCCCCACCCCAAGGAGCCAUGCACUGCCAGAGAUCUUGAGCCAGGUCUUCAGUGGUUAUCCAUUGAUAAGAAGAACGGAGAUAAUAAAGACAGUGAGGUAUCUUGUUGAUUUCGACGUGACCAUCUUCCUAACGCUUCUUCCAAACAAUGAACUGGAGGCUCUUUCCACGAAUGAAUGUUUAGCUGCUUCAAGUGUGAUUCCAGCUUUUUCAAGAGCUUCUUGUUGUUCUACUUCUACUGGCCUUUAUUGUAGUUAACAUGUCCUGUGAAUGUUUUUAGGAGCCCAGUUUUGCUACAAACACAGUAAACCUCAAGUUCACAUAUAGUUAAAAAACGGUCUACUUGUAACAUUAUCUAGGAAAAAGUUCUACAAAUUGGACAUGGUGAAACUUUUCAUUCAUUAUGUUUUCAGUAUUUACUGAGGUACUCACUACAAAAGGAAGUUGGGGUCAAAAGGUCAAGUUUUUGUUCAACUUGGUCACAUUCCUUUAUUUCUGCAUCAAUUAUGUUCACACUACAUCUGAUCCUUGGGUAAUACAUGUACUUUCAUUAGGAUAAUGGGUCAAAGGCCUAAUGUUAAUAAUCAACUGCCUAAUGUUAAUAAUCAACUGAAAAUUACUUAGUCAGAAAAGGUGGUUUAUUGGAUUCCCUAUCUUUUGCUUAUAAUUAUUUUUUUUCAAAUUUAGUAUUUCUCCAUCAAAUCUGACAAAUUCAUUAUUUUUUUAUCAAUAAUUAUUAAACGAUGUCAGUAAUAAGAGUUUUGAGAAACAUGUGCAAGUAUAUGUACCAAUAUCCAUGUGCAGAAUAUUUGCUGCAAGGUUAAAUGCUACAGUGAAAUUUUAAAGUCCGCAACCAUAGGAUACGGGAAAAGAGUUCUUGCAGCCUUUGAUGUACUUAUAAAGAUCAAGAUAGAAUUCACCCAAAACAUCUAUUAGGUGUUAGUAGCUGAAAAUAUCCUAGAUUAGUUCAGAACUAUUCAUCUGGAAGAAGAGACAAGUCAAAGCAUUUUAAACAAUUUCAAAACUUACCUGCGCUAUAUUUGUUUUUAAUUGAUAUGCAGUUAGAAUUGAUCAAAUUCUGAUUGCAAGCUGACAAAUUUAUUUAAAAGGAGGGUAUUAACAUGAAUGUAUUUCAAUACAAAUAAGACAUCUCUGGCAGUCUUGCCUGCAUUAUUAUGCAAUUCAAUAUGGUCAGAAGUUCGGUAUGGAAAUGGGUGGAUAAUGGAAAAAGUAUUUGUCGAGUUAAAUGCCAAUAAUUGAAUAAUAUUAAAUU
rnacentral:lncRNA from 1 species